rnacentral:lncRNA from 1 species
CAUUGUGACAACUGAAAUCCCUUCAGAUUUUGAUGGAGACUUACCAGCCUUUGCACGGUAUUCAUCUGCAAAAGAAAGAGAAAAGCAAUGCAUGAUCAGAGGGGAAAGCUUCUCCUGCCAUAGCUCCCAUUGGAAGACAUGAAGUUCUUUCCAUUGGGGAGGGACACUCACCCCGCUCUGCUUUCAGUUCCACUGCAAAAGGAAAGCAAAGGCAAUGCAUGAUCAGAGGGGACAGCUUCUCGUCAUAUGCCUGCUCCCAUGGCUAUGCCCCCAAAUUUAUUCUUCUAGGAAGUGGCCAAAUGUAACUUUGCUCCCAAAGGAGGGACCAGACUAAUAGUGAGUGAAGUUCAGCUGUGAGCAUGGCUUGUGCAAGCAGAACAACCGGCACAGAAACUUGUGCAGCUUUCAGUAGGAUGCCACCAAAAGACAAGUGGAAGUGAAUGGGGACGGGUGGAGGACGUCCCUGUCCCAGAAGCGUCAGUGCAGAGCAGGGCAGCUCUGCAGCUUGCUCCCCAUCCCCAUCUUGAUCCCCGUUCCUUUCAGCCAUCCCGGCCGUGUUCUGUCCGCAGUGCAGCCCCGCACUCCCCACUCCCUCAUCCGGGUGAGGGGCCCGCCCAGGGCUGCUCUGUCCCAGUUGCCCACCCUCCCCUGAACAUUGCCUUCGUGUUGCCGAGGACACUCACCCAGCUCUGCUGCUUGUUCCUCUGAAGAAAAAAAAAAAAAAAGAUGGAGAUUGAAAAGAAUUGUCUGAUGAGAGCGGAGAGCUUCUAAUUCCAUUGCUGGACCCCAUACUGUUUGUUGUGGUGCAGGAUACUCACUGAGUUCUUUAUCCUUCCUCACUGUCAAACAAAAGCAAAAAGAAUGCAUGAUAGAAACAGACAACUUCCCAUCCCACACUGCCCACCAAUAGGGCCCAAAUUCCUUCAUUUUGGGAAAGGACACGCACCCAGCUCUUCAGCUAGUUCCUCUGCAUAAGAAAAGCAAAAAUAUUGAUGAGAGAGUACAGAUUCUCAUUACAUGAUGAGAGCCCAUUUUCUUUGGGUUUGGGGACAGAGACUCACGCAGUUUUCCAGAUUGGCGCUCUAGAAAUGAGAAGAAAAUCAUGGUGAGAGGGAACAGCUUCCAAUUGCAUUGCGACACC